UUAUGCAUGUGUGCCAUCAUGUGCACUGUGAAAGAGUACGAUGUUGCAGUAAUCAUAAUAAUAAUUAAAUAAAAAUAUAUAACAACAACUAAAAUAUAUAUAUAUAAUAAUAUCGAUAGGAUUUCUCAUGAUAUCGUAGGCGGCCUAAUAACUUUAUUCGACAUUUUUCUUCUUCGUUCACUUGGCCCUACUAUACACAUGUAUACCCACCGCCAGGCGGCGCUCCCUUCAGUUUAGCGGGAGAUUUGUAUUACAAGUGGCGGCCAUUUUGUUUGUUUACGGAAACGUGAUGAAAGCUUAGACCUAGAACAAAAUCACGUUAUAUAUACAGUACGGUAUAUAUUGGCGACAUUUAAUUUCCCCACUCACGGAAUACAAUCGACAAACUGGGAACAGAAUAUCAAAUUUCGUCUAGCUUUUGGCGACUUAUGAUACCCCUUUCACCGGCAAACACUGAAUUAUCGGACAACAUGAAAUCAGGGACUAAAUUCACCAGCAUUCAUGAUCCUCGGACCACCCGCCCCCUACGCACAGCCGAUUUAUAAAUGUUGCAUCUUUCAAUCAGUGUCAAUCCCAAGAAGAACCCUGAUCAGCUCCUGGAAAAAUCAGUGUUCUUGCAGUAUUGUCAGUCAAAUCUCAAGGAAAGGAUCCCAGAAGAGGAACAUUUACAUUAUUUCAGACUUUUUUCUUUCCUGUGUAACAAUGCCUCAAACAGCUAACACAUUUUAUAUAGUAUACAAUACAAUGUGUAUUAAUAACAGUCCAGUUAGAGUGCUGUGUUAUGCAGUAAAAAUACUUAAUUCUUGAUGACAUGUUGGUUUUAUGUUUACAUUAAACGGUAGUUAUAAUAUAUACUAAAGAAACAUAGUGGAUAAUGCCUUGUACAGGAGCAGGAGUAUGACAGUGUAAUAGUACAUGACUGCUGCGUUCAUCCAUGGAAGGAGUCUGUUAUUCGAAAUAAAGCUUUCCAUGAGGACGAAAAA